rnacentral:rRNA from 1 species
GACGAACGCUGGCGGCGUGCUUAACACAUGCAAGUCGAACGGAAAGGCCCUGCUUUUGUGGGGUGCUCGAGUGGCGAACGGGUGAGUAACACGUGAGUAACCUGCCCUUGACUUUGGGAUAACUUCAGGAAACUGGGGCUAAUACCGGAUAGGAGCUCCUGCUGCAUGGUGGGGGUUGGAAAGUUUCGGCGGUUGGGGAUGGACUCGCGGCUUAUCAGCUUGUUGGUGGGGUAGUGGCUUACCAAGGCUUUGACGGGUAGCCGGCCUGAGAGGGUGACCGGCCAAAUUGGGACUUAGAUACGGCCCAGGCUCCUACGGGAGGCAGCAGUGGGGAAUAUUGCACAAUGGGCGGAAGCCUGGUGCAGCAACGCCGCGUGCGGGAUGACGGCCUUCGGGUUGUAAACCGCUUUCGCCUGUGACGAAGCGUGAGUGACGGUAAUGGGUAAAGAAGCACCGGCUAACUACGUG